rnacentral:rRNA from 1 species
UCUACGGGAGGCAGCAGUGGGGAAUAUUGGACAAUGGGCGAAAGCCUGAUCCAGCCAUGCCGCGGGUGUGAAGAAGGCCUUCGGGUUGUAAAGCACUUUCAGUGGGGAAGAAAGCCUUGGGGCUAAUACCCUCGAGGAAGGACAUCACCCACAGAAGAAGCACCGGCUAACUCCGUGCCAGCAGCCGCGGUAAUACGGAGGGUGCGAGCGUUAAUCGGAAUUACUGGGCGUAAAGCGCGCGUAGGCGGUCUGAUAAGCCGGUUGUGAAAGCCCCGGGCUCAACCUGGGAACGGCAUCCGGAACUGUCAGGCUAGAGUGCAGGAGAGGAAGGUAGAAUUCCCGGUGUAGCGGUGAAAUGCGUAGAGAUCGGGAGGAAUACCAGUGGCGAAGGCGGCCUUCUGGACUGACACUGACGCUGAGGUGCGAAAGCGUGGGUAGCAAACAGGAUUAGAUACCCGGGUAGUC